AGAGUUUGAUCCUGGCUCAGAACGAACGCUGGCGGCGUGCCUAACACAUGCAAGUCGAACGUGAAAGUCCUUCGGGAUGAGUAAAGUGGCGCACGGGUGAGUAAUGCGUAGAUAAUCUGCCUGGUGAUCUGGGAUAACAUCUCGAAAGGGGUGCUAAUACCGGAUAAGCCCACGGAGUCUUCGGACUUUGCGGGAAAAGGGGGGGACCUUCGGGCCUUCUGUCACCAGAUGAGUCUACGUACCAUUAGCUAGUUGGUGGGGUAAGAGCCCACCAAGGCUACGAUGGUUAGCUGGUCUGAGAGGAUGAUCAGCCACACUGGAACUGAGACACGGUCCAGACUCCUACGGGAGGCAGCAGUGGGGAAUUUUGCGCAAUGGGGGAAACCCUGACGCAGCAACGCCGCGUGAGUGAUGAAGGCCUUCGGGUCGUAAAGCUCUGUCAGAGGGAAA
rnacentral:rRNA from 1 species